CAUCUGUCUGUCUGUCUAAUUAUUUGUGUGCACGGGUACGUGUGCUGUAGUGUGCAUUGGAGGUCAGAGGACAACUUGGGGAGCUGAGUCUCUCUUUCUACCACGUGGAUGCUGCGGGAUCAGACCUAGGUCUUCAGCCCUGCACUGCCAUCUUGCUAGUGCAGUUUUUAGGGGUAAGGUUGAAAUUAGUUUGCUCUAGACAACCAUAUAUCAAGAGGGAUAUACUAGAGGGAUUUGCACUGUGUCUUCUCCUCUAGGAAAAGCUUGGUUCUCUUUCCAAGGUGGGGUCCUCCCUGCCGAUUUGAAGAUGGGAAGGUCUUUCUUGUGCAGACUGCUUGGGCCUAGUCAUCCAGCGUUUUGGUCAAGCACUCAGGAUAGAGUACCUCAGAUUUGGCUAUGACAGGUUCCUUCUUGUCACCCAUAACCCCCUGAUGUAAAGCACCCCCGUCCACCCCUGAGCUCGCUCCUGGCAGCUCUAUCUAGUGGCCAUCUGUUCACACCCUGGUUUGCUGUAUGUCUUCCCAGCCCCCAGUUCAGACACCUUGCUCCCCAGUCCAGGUCUCUGGGUCUGCCACACAGGAUGCUCCAGGCGCAGAGGCUGAACAAGGACGGCCUCACUGCCAUUUGAAAUGGGGUUCAUGCCAGGAGACUUGGGGAACUCCAUCUUCAGGCAGUUAGCCAUAUGUUCUAGGAUGAAGCUGAGAGUCAGCAGGGUUGGGGUGAGACUGAGACCCAGCUUGGACUCUCUUUCCUUCUUGGCCCAUGGAGCUGUGUGGGUAUGGGUGCGUGUGUGCCAGGCUCAGUUCGUGGGCAGGCAGGUAACUGCACCACUGGAGGAGACUGUCCUGCUAGGACGGUCACAUGCUUGUGUUCGGUAUUCACUCUGAAUUCUUGCACAGAUCUGUUCUCCCCGUACGGCAUGUGAGGAAACAGACUCUGAGAGGUUCCUCAGAGCUGGGGAGCAGACCCGUGUGAAAACCCCAGCCCAGAGGACACCACAGCCCAAGCCCUUGGCUCUCAGGGCCCUGCCUCAGGCAGCUGUGAUCAGGGCCUCAGCCUCUGUCUCCUGAGAGUGGCACUUACCUUCCUUCCACAUCUGUGAAUCCAUCUGUGGAGUGGACAGAAGGCACCUUUGGCAUAUCCCAGCUCCAGUCAGGACCUGUGUCUGGGAGGAGUCCUGCCUGCACCCACCGAAGCUCUGUUGAAUUCUUGGUGUUCCUUGCCUGGUACCCCACACUCCUGAUAGCUGCCUGCUGACUCAAAGCAUAACCCAGAAGCAGGUCAGGGAGGGGCAGCUGUCCCCAUCUGGCAGACAGCCCUGAGAGGGAGACUCAGGAUCACCGGGGAGACCUCCUAGGGCAAGCCCCUGCAGAGGGGGCCACAGCCUGGCUUUUUGGAAGCCCCAGUGUCUGCAUGGGAUGUUGGCAGGAUGUCUCUUUCCGGCUUCCAUCCGGUGAUAGUGACGUGUGAGUGGGAACAGCAGGAAAUGAGUGACUAGUGGGGAAGAAAAACUGGCAAGAGCUGAGCGAGCGUUGGCUCCCCUGCCUGUGUGUGUGUUCAGGAUGCAUGGGUCUCUGAGGCCCCAGGCAUCCUGUCAACUGCUGGUGACCCCAGAAAGGACUGGGAAGCAGAGGAGGCCAUCGUCAACCCACACAGAGACCCCUGCAUUGAACAACCUCCAUCCUGGCCUUGAGAAGUGGUUGGGGGAGGGGCAACAAUGAAGCUGGUUGAGAUCUAGAAAGCAGAGGAUGUUGGAAUGCUCCCCAUCAUGAGAAGGACAUCAAAGAGCGGCAGCAGGCCACAUGGCUGGCUCCUCUCAGGAGGUCCCUUUACUGUCCCAGGCCUUCAGCCAGUGUGUCACUUAUUCCAGCCUCGUGUGGCUGUGCUGGGGGCUCUGAGGGCAGGGUGUCCUCUGGGCUCUGCCCUUGGCUUCAGCUGUUCUGGGAGGUGUCCCUUCUUCAUGGAUCCACCCAGCUUCCUUCAGCUUAUGUUUCUUUAUAAGAAACACAUCCCUGCUACCUUCUCUGAGAUGGCAGCAUGGUCCCCAACUACGCCCGUGACCUGGCUUUGUCAUCACCCCCUACUAUGUCUACAUUCGUCUGUUUUUCCUCAGGACUUGUCUAGGUCAUGGUCAGCAUUGCUGGAAUUAGGGCAUCUCGCACAUGGCCCAGUCCCCAAAGCCCCUCUCCACAGGCAGACCUUGAAAUCUAGCAAAAGCUCUCAGGCUCGCAAUUCAAUGCCCUUUUUGGCCACGUAGUUCCCCAGGUGAGUGUCUUGACCUCUCUAGGACUCCUCACCCAUGAAGGAAGGAAUGAAUAAGAGAGAACAAGUGAAUGCCCUUAGCUGAGAACGGCAUGGAGGUCGGAGAACAGACUAGACAGCCCAGGGCCUCUGGGACCUGACACACAGACGGAUGCAAAUGAGGAGCUAGAGGCCAGGAAGGAAGGCGUAAAGAGUUCACCCAGAGCUGCUGUCUGCGGAGAUGGUGGAGGACCCUCCCUGUGGCCAGGCAGACCGUCCAGGGCAGGCCCUGGAAUGGGAGAGUUUACACCCCACAGAUAAGCCAACAGCUGUUCUCUGGUCUGCCAGCUUUGGGAAACACAAAAGCCAGGGGUCCAUU